GGAGGAAGCACCUCAGAAGUGAGUAAAAGGAAAAGUCAAGACACUCCUCUCUCUGUUGCGUUUUAGAUUAUAUCUGAAGGUUACAACCAUGUUGUGACACAAUGGAAAGGCAUGUCCAGAGAAACUGCAGGGUUGAAGAGUGGCUCUUUUAUUCAGAUAUCCUGUUCAGAAAAUAAAACUUGUGUUACAAUUCAAC